rnacentral:rRNA from 1 species
CUGGCUCAGGAUGAACGCUAGCUACAGGCUUAACACAUGCAAGUCGAGGGGCAUCAGGACGGCAGCUUGCUGCCGUUGCUGGCGACCGGCGCACGGGUGCGUAACGCGUGUCCAACCUACCCCGGGCUCAGGGACAGCCCAUCGAAAGAUGGAUUAAUACCUGAUGAUGUGUCUGCGCUGCCUGGCGCAGUCACGAAAGAUUCAUCGGCCCGGGAUGGGGACGCGUCCGAUUAGCUUGACGGCGGGUAACGGCCCACCGUGGCGACGAUCGGUAGGGGUUCUGAGAGGAAGGUCCCCCACACUGGAACUGAGACACGGUCCAGACUCCUACGGGAGGCAGCAGUGAGGAAUAUUGGUCAAUGGUCGUAAGACUGAACCAGCCAAAAGUAGCGUGAGGGAAGACUGCCCUAUGGGUUGUAAACCUCUUUUGUUCGGGAAUAACCGGUCCCACGCGUGGGGCCCUGCAUGUACCGUUCGAAUAAGCAUCGGCUAAUUCCGUGCCAGCCGCUGC